CUACGUGCCAGCAGCCGCGGUAAUACGGAAGGUCCGGGCGUUAUCCGGAUUUAUUGGGUUUAAAGGGAGCGUAGGCCGGAGAUUAAGUGUGUUGUGAAAUGUAGACGCUCAACGUCUGACUUGCAGCGCAUACUGGUUUCCUUGAGUACGCACAACGUUGGCGGAAUUCGUCGUGUAGCGGUGAAAUGCUUAGAUAUGACGAAGAACUCCGAUUGCGAAGGCAGCUGACGGGAGCGCAACUGACGCUGAAGCUCGAAGGUGCGGGUAUCGAACAGGAUUAGAUACCCUGGUAGUCCACACAGUAAACGAUGUAUACUCGCGGUUUGCGAUAGACAGUAAGCCGCCAAGCGAAAGCAUUAAGUAUACCACCUGGGGAGUACGCCGGCAACGGUGAAACUCAAAGGAAUUGACGGGGGCCCGCACAAGCGGAGGAACAUGUGGUUUAAUUCGAUGAUACGCGAGGAACCUUACCCGGGCUUGAAC
rnacentral:rRNA from 1 species